ensembl:lncRNA
CAUAGGCCCCAUAGAACCCCAUAGGCCCCUAUAGAACCCCAUAGGCCCCUAUAGAGCCCCAUAGGCCCCUAUAGGCCGCAAUGGGCCUCACCUCGGCGAUGCGCUGCCGUAGCAGCUCCAUGUGCUCCCGUUGCCGCUCCCGUUUCUUCAUGAGCUGCAGCGCCCGCCCCGCUUCACUCGCCGCUCCCUUGUACUGCGCCAUCUUGGAUCCAGUACCGACACCGGAAACCGGAACCGGAAAUAACACACCCCCCUCUUAUAGCCUUAAGUGCGUCAUUUACGUGCGACGCGAUGGGAGUGGGAAGCGGAAGUGCGUCAUUAAAGUGAGACGCGACGAGGGGUCGGAAGCGGAAGUAGCUUCUGAAGCGGAAGUGCGUCAUUACUGAGACCCUUUCCCUAUAACGACAUCCCAUUGGAGGAGCUGUUGGUUUGGGCCCCGCCCACUUCCGGUGGCUUUAUCCAAUAGGAAGGAAGGAUUUGUCCCCGCCCCCUUUCCCGUGGCUUUAUCCAAUCAGAGUGAGUCCCUUUUUAUCCCCGCCCACUUCCGAUCUGAUUAUCCAAUCAGAGUGGCUCCUUUUGUCCCGCCCUUUUCCAGUGGCUUUAUCCAAUCAGAACGCAGCCUUUUAGCCCCGCCCCUCUUUUUGCCUUCAUCCAAUCGAAUCACAGCAUCCCAUUUAAGCCCCGCCCCUCCACCCAACGGGCUCCUCUGAUUGGACGAAUCGCCCUUUGGCUCCACCCACUUUUAGCCCCGCCUCCUCCCCCUUAAUGGCCUUCUCCGAUUGGUCGAUGUCCCGUCCCGUCCCCGUUAUUUGAUUGGAUCGUUUCCCUUUAGCCCCGCCCACUUGGGGCGGCUUUUAUUGGACACGGCACACAAUAAAUAGGGGGAGGGGCGAUAGGGGGCGCUAUAGGGCACACAUAGGGAUCUAUGGGGCACAUAUGGGGGUCUAUGGGGCACACAUAUGGGGUCUAUGGGGCACACAUAGGGAUCUAUGGGGCACAUAUGGAGUCUAUGGGGCACAUAUGGGGGUCUAUGGGGUAGAUAUGGGGCACAUAUGGGGCAGCUAUGGGGCACAUAUGGGGCACAUAUGGGGCACAUAUGGGGGUCUAUGGGGCACAUAUGGGGGUCUAUGGGGCAGAUAUGGGGCAGAACCCAGCUGUCUAUGGGGCAGACUGGCUAUGGGGCAGCUAUUGGGGCACGUAUGGGGCAGAUAUGGGGGUCUAUGGGGCGCUAUGGGGCAGACCCAGCAAGUCUAUGGGGCAGCCCUAUGGGUCUGGCUAUGGGGCAGCCCCACAGAUCCCUCUAUGGGGCAGCCCUAUUGGUCCCGCUAUGGGGCAGCCCCACAGAUCCCCAUCUCUAGGUCCCGCUAUGGGCAGCCCCACAUCUCCCCCCAUUACUUCCCCUAUGGGUACAUGCAAUGUGGUCCCACUAUGGGUCCUGGCUAUGGGUCCUGCUAUGGUCUGGCUAUGGGGCAGCCCCACAGAUCCCCCUCUAUAGGUCCCGCUAUGGGUCUGGCUAUGGGCAGCCCCACAGAUCCCACUAUAGGUCCCACUAUGGGCAGCCCUAUGGGUCUGGCUAUGGGGCAGCCCCACAGAUCCCACUAUAGGUCCCACUAUGGGGCAGCCCUAUGGGUCUGGCUAUGGGGCAGCCCUAUGGGUCCUGCUAUGGGUCCAUCUAUGGGUCAGCCCCACAUCUCCCCCCAUUACUCCCCUAUGGGCACAUGCAAUGUGGGUCCCCGUGGGUCAUCGAAUCGAUCCAUGGGGCGGAGGCGGAGCAGCAGCGCCCCCCCAUGGACAGACACCGCCAUCAACAGCAGCGACCAGCAGCAGCCCCAUAGAGGAACCCACAGAUAGAAAGGAAGAGCAAUCGAGGCACCCAAAAAGCCAAGCCGGAUACAUUUGAAAUGGCUGCACCUAAAGGAAGGGGAGAGGGUUCAUUAGUGCCCAUUAAUUAGUUAAUUAGCGCUAAUUAAGAGCCGUUAAUUAGGCAAUCAAUGGACCCCCCCUUCCCCUCUGAAAUGAAUGAGGAGCAAUCUGAGGCCCCCCAACAAUGAAGGCCUGGAUACAUUGAAUGGCUGCACCUAAAGGAAGGGGAAGAGGGUUCAUUAGUGCCCGGUAAUUAUUAAUUAGCGCUAAUUAAGACCCAUUAAUUAGCAAUGAUUGGACCCCCCCCCCCUCUUCCAUUGAAAUGAAUGAGGAGCAAUCUGAGGCCCCAAACAAUGAAGCCUGGACACAUUGAAUGGCUGCACCUAAAGGAAGGGGAAGAGGGUUCAUUAGUGCCCGUAAUUUAGUUAAUUAGCGCUAAUUAAAAACCCAUUAAUUAGGCAAUCAAUGGGACCCCCCCCCCUUCUCCCAUUGAGAUGAAUGAAGUCUGAUGCCCCCCCCAAAGCAAAGGCCGGACACAAUUGAAUGGCUGCACCUAAAGGAAGGGGAGAGGGUUCAUUAAUACCCAGUAAUUAGUUAAUUAGUCCUAAUUAAGACCAUUAAUUAGGCAAUAUCAAUGGACCCCCCCCCCCCUUCCCCCAUUGAAAUGAAUGCAAUCUGAUGACCCCAAUAAUGAGGCCUGGAUGAGGCCCCCAACAAUGAAGCCUGGACCACAUUGAAUGGCUGCACCUAAAGGAAGGGGAGAGGGUUCAUUAGUGCCCAGUAAUUUAGUUAAUUAGCGCUAAUUAAGACCCAUUAAUUAGGCAAUCAAUGGACCCCCCCCCUCUUCCCAUUGAGAUGAAUGCAAUCUGAGGACCCCCAUAAUGGAGCCUGGAUGAGGCCCCCCAACAAUGAAGCCUGGGAUACAUUGAAUGGCUGCACCUAAAGGAAGGGGAGAGAUUCAUUAGUGCCGGUAAUUAGUUAAUUAGUCCUAAUUAAGACCCAUUAAUUAGCGAAUGAAUGGACCGCCCCCCCCCCUUCCCCCAUUGAGAUGAAUGAAGACUGAGGACCCCCCAUUGAAAUGAAUGAAGUCUGAUGCCCCCCCAAAAGCGAAGGCCGGACACAUUGAAUGGCUGCACCUAAAGGAAGGGGAGAGGGUUCAUUAGUGCCCGUAAUUAUUUAAUUAGCGCUAAUUAAGAGCCAUUAAUUAGGCAAUCAAUGGACCCCCCCCCCCUGCUCCCCCAUUGAGAUGAAUGAAGUCUGAGGACCCCCAUUGAAAUGACAUGAAGUCUGAUGCCCCCCCCAAAGCGAAGGUCGGACACAUUGAAUGGCUGCACCUAAAGGAAGGGGAAGGAUUAAUUAUACCCCAGUAAUUAGUUAAUUAGUCCUAAUUAAGACCCAUUAAUUAGGCAUUGAAUGGACCCCCCCCCCCUCUUCCCAUUGAAAUGAAUGAAGGAGCAAUCUGAGGCCCCCCCAACAAUUGAAGCCUGGACACAUUGAAUGGCUGCACCUUAAAGGAAGGGGAAAGGAUUCAUUAGUGCCGUAAUUAGUUAAUUAGCGCUAAUUAAGACCCAUUAAUUAAGGCAAUCAAUUGACCCCCCCCCCCCGUCCUCCCAUUGAAAUGAAGAAGUCUGAUGCCCCCCCAAAGCGAAGGCCGACACAUUGAAUGGCUGCACCUAAAGGAAGGGAGAGGGUUCAUUAGUGCCCAUUAAUUAGUUAAUUAGCGCUAAUUAAGACCCAUUAAUUAGGCAAUCAAUGCCCCCCCCCCCCCUCUCCAUUGAAAUAAAUGCAAUCUGAGACCCA